rnacentral:rRNA from 1 species
AUGCGUCCUAUAUGUGAACCUAUCAUGGAGGAGGUUGACAUCACAGACAAGUUCAUGCUUGAGGUCAUUUUCAUUAAGCCGCAGCUCGCACAACCACUAUUUUUACUACUGCAAAGUUGGACAGAGUUUUGCAUAACAAUCAAGUUCCGUACCAGCACGCGGCAUCAGCGACAUGAUGCUGAAGCAAUGGCACUAUCCGGAAAUUCAUCUAAUUCCAUAGAAGUUGCAACGGAUGUUGCAGCGGCUCGAGUUAUCAGAUACAUGGAGGCUGUGUGUGCCAAGGUGCUCAAGGACUAUAGUUACAACAAAUUGCAAACAAAGGAAAGAGAAUUGCAUCUAAUUGGUUUGUUAAUAGACAAAGAAAAGUAG